rnacentral:rRNA from 1 species
AGCUCCAAUAGCGUAUAUUAAAGUUGUUGCAGUUAAAAAGCUCGUAGUUGGAUUUCGGGGCGGCCUGGCUGGUCCGUCGCGAGACGAGUACUGGUCAGCCGCCCUUCCUCUCGAAAGCCCCGACUGCUCUUCACUGCAGUGGUCGGGUAGUUCGGGACGUUUACUUUGAAAAAAUUAGAGUGUUCAAAGCAGGCUGUCACAGCCCGAAUACAUGAGCAUGGAAUAAUGGAAUAGGACCGCGGUUCUAUUUUGUUGGUUUCUACGACCGCAGUAAUGAUUAAGAGGGACAAUUGGGGGCAUCCGUAUUUCGUUGUCAGAGGUGAAAUUCUUGGAUUUACGAAAGACGAACAACUGCGAAAGCAUUUGCCAAGAGUGUUUUCAUUAAUCAAGAACGAAAGUA